rnacentral:rRNA from 1 species
CAUAGCGAUAAAAUGUUACACCUCUUUUUUUUAAUUUAAGUAUAUAAUUUAUGGGGAUUAGGGGUUUCCUUUCGUAUACGGAUCUUAGGAGGGCAAGUAAGGUUCUGUGUCUCGAAGCUUUAAGAUCUUGAUUUAAUGUGGGUUGAUAAAAGUAAUCUACUUUACUGAAUUAAGUGGUGAGAGGCUAUUGGUUGAAGUAUAUUAGUUUAAGCAUUAGUGCAGUUAAGCUGUAUGGUAGCAAUAGUAUGGUGUGUAGGUAGUGGGAGGUGUAAUAGUGUAUAGUAUUAUUGCUCUAGUAUUUGUUAUUAGUAUUAUUUAGUGGGUUUGUGAGGGUUAAAAGUGUAAUGAGUUCUUUUUGUAUAAUCUAAGUAUUAGUAGAAGUGUGUUAUGGGUGAUACAAAGUAGGCGCUUUUGCUGAACUAAAGGGCCUCACGAAUGUUUAGUAAAAACAUUUCCUGAUAGUUUUCAAGUAAGUCCUGCUCAAUGGUUCAUUUAAAUAGCCGCAGUAAUUUGACUGUGCUAAGGUAGCGUAAUCAUUAGUCUUUUAAUUAAGGUCUAGAAUGAAGGGGUAUACGAUGGGGCCUGAGUAAUGGAGGUGUGGUUUGAAGUUUUAUUUUAAGUGAAAAUGCUUAAGUUUUAUUAAAGACGGAAAGACCCUAGAAGUUUUAUAAUAUUUAUUUCGUUGGGGUAACGGUUGGAGAACAGGUUUUAAUAUGUUUAGUAAAUUACUCUAGGGAUAACAGGACAAUUUAGAAAGUUAGUUCGUAUAUGUUUUUAAGGUUGUUACCUCGAUGUUGGAUCAUCUCAUCCUAUGCUGUGUAUAGGUUUAGGUCUGUUCGACCUGUGUGAGUUACGUGAUCUGAGUUUAGAUCGGUGUGAGCCAGAUCGGAUCUUAUCUUAAAGUCUGUUCAAGUGGUACGAAAGGAUGCUUGAGCUGCAAUAAUUGGAGU